AACGAACGCUGGCGGCAUGCCUAACACAUGCAAGUCGAACGAACCCUUCGGGGUUAGUGGCGCACGGGUGCGUAACACGUGGGAAUCUGCCCUUUGCUUCGGAAUAACAGUUAGAAAUGACUGCUAAUACCGGAUGAUGUCGUAAGACCAAAGAUUUAUCGGCAAAGGAUGAGCCCGCGUAGGAUUAGGUAGUUGGUGGGGUAAAGGCCUACCAAGCCGACGAUCCUUAGCUGGUCUGAGAGGAUGAUCAGCCACACUGGGACUGAGACACGGCCCAGACUCCUACGGGAGGCAGCAGUGGGGAAUAUUGGACAAUGGGCGAAAGCCUGAUCCAGCAAUGCCGCGUGAGUGAUGAAGGCCUUCGGGUUGUAAAGCUCUUUUACCAGGGAUGAUAAUGACAGUACCUGGAGAAUAAGCUCCGGCUAACUCCGUGCCAGCAGCCGCGGUAAU
rnacentral:rRNA from 1 species